UAGGGAAUAUUCCACAAUGGGCGAAAGCCUGAUGGAGCAAUGCCGCGUGCAGGAUGAAGCUUUUCGGAGUGUAAACUGCUUUUGUAGUCGAAGAUUAUGACGGUAGACUAAGAAUAAGGGCCGGCUAACUACGUGCCAGCAGCCGCGGUAAUACGUAGGGCCCAAGCGUUAUCCGGAAUUACUGGGCGUAAAGCGUCCGCAGGCGGUUAAGCCAGUGGAGUGCGAAAUCUUGCCGCUUAACGGUAUAGAC
rnacentral:rRNA from 1 species